CCCUACGGGACGCAGCAGUGAGGAAUAUUGGUCAAUGGGCGCGAGCCUGAACCAGCCAAGUAGCGUGAAGGAUGACUGCCCUACGGGUUGUAAACUUCUUUUAUAAAGGAAUAAAGUGAGGCACGUGUGCCUUUUUGUAUGUACUUUAUGAAAAAGCAUCGGCUAACUCCGUGCCAGCAGCCGCGGUAAUACGGAGGAUGCGAGCGUUACCCGGAUUUAUUGGGUUUAAAGGGUGCGUAGGCGGACUGUUAAGUCAGCGGUAAAAGCCCGGGGCUCAACCCCGGCGAGCCGUUGAAACUGGCUGU
rnacentral:rRNA from 1 species